CAGCCGCCGCGGUAAUGCGUAGGGUGCAAGCGUUAAUCGGAAUUACUGGGCGUAAAGCGUGCGCAGGCGGUUUGUUAAGACAGAUGUGAAAUCCCCGGGCUCAACCUGGGAACUGCAUUUGUGACUGGCAAGCUAGAGUGUGUCAGAGGAUGGUGGAAUUUCCGGUGUAGCAGUGAAAUGCGUAGAGAUCGGAAGGAACAUCUGUGGCGAAGGCGACUAUCUGGGCCAACACUGACACUGAGGCACGAAAGCGUGGGGAGCAAACAGGAUUAGAUACCCCCGUAGUCCCUGUGUCUUUACA
rnacentral:rRNA from 1 species